rnacentral:rRNA from 1 species
GUCUACGGCCAUACCACCCUGAACGCACCUGAUCUCGUCUGAUCUCAGAAGCUAAGUAGGGUCAGGCCUGGUUAGUACUUGGGUGGGGGGAAGUCAAUUUCUUUCUUUU